rnacentral:lncRNA from 1 species
CCUGUGCAGGGGGUGUUGUCACCUUUCCCAGCAGGUUUCUCUCACCAAUCUGGGCUGUUGUCACCUGGGAGCAGGUGGCAGUGAGGGCCCCUCCCUGUCCAAGCUGUGUCACCAUUCCCAGUGGGAAUCAGGGAUCAUUUCCCGCUGGAUUUGGCUCCAUCCAGAGCCUCCAGCUGUGACUGCUGGUGCUGGUCCUGUCCCAGUUCUGUCCCAGUUCUGUCCCAGUUCUGUCCCAGUUCACCUCUCUGCACGUCCCCAUGCACACUGAGACAUUCCAGCCUGCCCUUGUAGCAGGAUAAGAUCCCCCAGGGUCCCUGCUGAUGUUUCCAAGCUUUUCCUCGCUGCUCCCCUCGCACCUUCCUGCUCCUUCUGCCCCAGUUCCUGCCAGGUCCAUCCCCCUGCCCUUUCCCACCCUCACCGGGGUGUUCCAGAGCUUCCCCUCGUGCCUGCACAGAGCCCCAGCGUUCCCUCACUGCUGUUCCCACCUGGGGGGUGUCUCUGGCUGACGUGUCCCACCUGUCCCUCCUGUCCCCGUUCUGGACAGCCCCACAUUCCCAUUUUUCCCGUUUUUCCUGCAGUACUGCCUGGAUAACACUCAGGACCUGUCCAGCACCCAGCCCCACAUUCCCAUUUUCCCGUUUUUCCCGCAGUACUGCCUGGAUAACACUCAGGACCUGUCCAGCACCCAGCUCUGCGGGAUCCUCGUCUCCUUCGCCCGCCUCAACUUCCAGCCCAGCUCCAGCGAGGAGUUCUUCUCCAUGCAGCCCCGGGCCCCCCACCUGCGCCAGCUGCUGUCCCCCGAGUUCCAGGCCCGGCUGCGAGGUGACAGCUCCCCGCGGGCAGAGAGCUCGUGGCUGAAGCUGCUGCACAUCAACGCCACAGCCAGGCUAGAGGUGCCAGGCUACGAGGGGCCCUUCCUGCCCCCCGAGCUGCUGGGGGGGCACGGGGACAGGGACAAGGACAAGGAGAAGGCCACCCCCCUGCAGCGGUGGCUGCGGGAGGCACUGCCGGGGGCACUGGGGGGCCCCGACCUCGUCAGAUGCCGAGGCGGUGCUGGACAGUGACAACAAACCUCUGCCCGUGAGGGAGUACGCUGCCCCCCACCUGUCCCACUCUGAGGGGACAAAGCCACUGCCACCGGGGGCCAGGAG